rnacentral:lncRNA from 1 species
CAGAACUUGAAGCCUCUGCAGCAUUAACUUUUUUUUUUUUUUUUUUUUUUCUUUUUUUGCUGGUGUAGACCCACUUGUGGAUUUUUCCAGACUACAUCAAGGGUUCUCUCUGAAGAAUAGCCUCAUGUGUUCACCCUUCCUGCGUGUCCUCACCCAAGGGGGCAACACCUGGUCUCAGCAGGCUCAGGAUAAGCCUGUCCGUCGGCCUCCCGGCGUCUGCGUCUGCGUCUGCCUCUGCCUGGUCAGGGAGCAGCAGGAGCCGGGCCUGAGGGGAAUACCUCCAAUCCAAUGGUGCUUGUUGGGUGCAGUUCACUCAUUCUGAAGUCGGUUCCUCUGCAGGAUACAGUUCAGUAGACGGAGUUGAAGGAAGCGGAGGCACAAGUGAGUGAGGCAACCUGUCCAAGGAUACACCCCUGGGAAACAGACCAGAGAUCCACGGCCGUGUCCUCACUCUCUAGGCACACCAAAGGCGGAAGCAAAGCUGGACCCUCGUUAAGGUCGUGCGCCUGUCUGGAGGCACGGCCAGCUUCUAGGAGAGCUUCCCUGAAUGGAUCCGACGCAGCUACACGCGCGCUGCUGUGAGCUCAGUGACUGAGGACCCUGCCCUCAAUCACGCGGGGCAGCCUGGAGGAAAAGCCCAACCCUUGGGCUGCUCCGCCGCCUGGGCUCCAUUCCCCACGCAGUCCCCUCCACCUAACUUUUCCUCCCCCAGGACCCGCGCCCCACACUGCCUAAACCCAGCGCAGGCUUCCAGUCCCAACCCAGCGCCCUCUCCGCGAGCUCAAUACCACGUGCUACUUCUCUGGUGGCUUUGGUUACAUCACUCUUGUUUUGUUUGUUGUUUGUUUUCCUUUUAACCACGAUUCUGUUUGUUUCUCUGCUGGCUCUCCCCUGCCACCCAGAUGGGAAGGAUGAGAGGUUUUCAGGUUUCUGUCCUAGGCUUUCUUCCAUGCUCCUUUGCACAUCUUCCCUGGACAAUUAGACCCUUUGCCAUGUGUUCAUCUACCUCAGGCCCUCAGCUUCCCAUCACACCUCAGUUCCCAAUGCUCUUUAGUGCAGCUGACCCCCACGCCCAUGGACUCCACUCCCUCUCCACGUGGACCAGCCACUGACAUUUCUAAAGCUGGGUUCAGAGAUUUCCCACCCAUGCCUCCUCCAGCUUUAGUAUUCCCAGCUUUUUAUAAACCAUCACGUGUCCCCAGUAGCUCAAGCUAGACCCUGAGCAAUGACCUUGACCAUCUGUCCUUCUCCAGGUCUCCUGGAUGCUGCCCCACCCCACUAGAUGGGGCUCUGGGCUCCAUCCCCCCUAAGAUGUGCUUCCCCUCUCACCUGCCUGGAUUAGGGGUUUCCUUCAUCCACAUCGGUUCUCCUUCAGUCUGUUCAUCAGUCAGAACGACUUUUCAUAAAAAGUAAGUGAAUCUGAUCCUUUAACUCACAAGCAUCCAGCCCUCAGCAGCUUCCUCUUUCAAGCAGAGUAAAGCUCAAAAUGCUGAAUGGAAGGUGGCCCCUAGGCCCUCAGACUCCUGUGCUCACCUCCUCAACAGCAGUUAUUCCACCUGACACAGGUUCUGUCCCUGCAAGGCUGUCAAAAGCCUCGAUUCCUCCCCCUGGAAGCCUUCGUCUCCCCUUGUGGAGUUGUGACUCUGAAACCCCAUCCAAUGCUGUUCUCGGAGCAGGCCUCACAAGCAUCCCAGCCUCCUUCCUCCCAAGGAUUAUCUGUAGCGUCCCCCACGCACCCUGUGGUUCCCAGUGAGGUGGUUUCCACACCUACAACUAUUUAGCUAUUUGUAAUCACCUGGCUGGUGCUUGCCUGCGUUGAAAGGUUGCAGACCAGGUGCACCUUCUCAGCUCACAGCCCCAUGCCUGGCACACGGCGGGCACACUCACCACGUGUUUGCUGAACGGCUGAUUCAAAUCCAGCACAUUCUCAGUAGCAUAGACUUAAGUUAAAGCAAUUUGAACGUCAAAUGAAAUGUAACAAGAAUGUUCUUAGAUGAUGACAGAGCAGAAGCACCAUCAUCUUGAACAAACAUCACCAUUUUAAAUUCCAGCUCCCUUUCUAACCUCAUGCAUUUCAAGGAAAUUACUUCUCUUCUAACAACAAGCAGCCAGAAAAAGCAGACAGCAAAACACACAUAAAACAGCUCGGGCACAGAAGAAGGGGAGAAGUCUCCUUGGUAAUCACCAAACUUCAUAUUUACACAGUGGGCCCCAGUGAAACAGUGGGCCAUAAUAAGCACAUUCCUUUCCUUUUAGGUGAAUGAAGAUAGGGAAGUUAAGGCCGACUGGGGAGUAUCCCUGAAGCUGCAGGAAGAUGUGUGGGAACAAACACAAAAACUCUUUCUCCCUGAUAAGCAAGACAAAGAGAUACAGACUAAAAGUUGGCCUAUGUGGUCUGGGAAUGGGGUGAGAGCUGAUAAAUACUCUGCUCUAUAUAAAUAGCACACCUGGUCCUAACUGAACCAUCAGGCCCUAGGAGGAUAAGGCACCCCCUCCUCAUGAGCCCCUGAUCCCUUAAAUACCCCUAGUCUGUAAGAGAAAAAGCUCCUGACCUAACUCAGCCAGAAGCCCCCGUCAGGUUUAUUCUCUAAAAUAAACCUGUCUUUGACUGUUGAGCCACCUUUCAUGCUCCUUUCUUCCUUCCUCAACUCUUACAGAUGAGAAAGGUAAUUAAUCAGAAACAAUUGUGUCUUUCAAGGAUCAGUGAGGCAGAACUAAAGCCAAUAUUAAAAGCCAAGAAGCACAUUUCUGACACUUAAAACAUAGCAAAAGAUAAUUAAUGCACAGAAAAAAUGAAAAGAGACAAGAGAGGCCAAAGCACGUGAAAUACAAAUGAGUGCCACAGGGAAAAAAUUAAAACCAAAUUGCAAAUGUUCUGCUUACACACUGAAAUGAGGCUUCUAUUAGGGACACUGAAAAAGAGCUUUUGAAAAAGUGUAUUCUGGGAUGGCUGCUCAUUGUAUGACCUUUUUAAGAAAUAAAUCCAAAAACACCAAGUUCCCCAGCAACCCAUUAAAUUACAGAGGCAAAAUAGGUACAAUUGUUUCAGAGAACAAGACAAGUUUAUCCAAUAUAAGAUUGCUAUGAAUAUGUGUGUUUGUGGAUGUCACAGAUAUGCCUAUAUAAUAGAUAAUACUGAGAAGUUUGUCUCUUGUAUGAUCAAUUUAAUCAUUUUAAACUGCAUGUAUUUCUGUUCCUGGUUUAAUUUAGUGUGCAAAUAUCUAGGUAUAUAAUAUAAAGAUUUAAUAUUUUGAUAUUAAAAUAAUUUUUAAAUUUCAUAGCAUCAUUCCUCUGAAUAACUCAAAUAACUUAAAAACGUGCACCUGAUUUAACAAAAUAUUUGUGAAAUGAGUAACUGAAAUCUGAAAAUUAAUAUCUAGCUAAAUCAACUUUGAGGUCUGACAGAAUUACCUGAUUAAUGUCUGAUGAUCAAGUAACUUUAUUCUGUCUUCAUUCAUUCUUCAAUACAUGUACACAAAAUCAUGCUAUGCAUCUAUAACAGAGCAUUUCUAAAAUCUCAUUUUGUUUUCCAUAGGGAGGCUGAUAUGGUUAGGCUGUGUCCCCACCCAAAUCUGAUCUUAAAUUGUAACUCCCAUAAUUCCCAGGUGUUGUGGGAGGGACCCAGUGGGAGAUAAUUGAAUCAUGGGGGCAGUUCCCCCAUACUGUUCUCAUGGUAGUGAAUAAGUCUCAGGAGAGCUGAUGGUUUUAUAAGAGGAAACCCCUUUUGCUUGGCUGUCAUUCUCUCUUGCCUGCCACCAUUUAAGACGUCCCUUGCUCUUCUGCCAUGAUUGUCAGGCCUCCCCAGCCAAGUGGGACUCUGAGUUCAUUAAACCUCUUUUUCU